rnacentral:tRNA from 1 species
CAAAAUGUAGCUAAAUUAGUAAAGCACCUCCCUUACACUGAAGAAAAACCCGUGCAACUCGGGUCAUUUUG